rnacentral:rRNA from 1 species
UACGUAGGGGGCGAGCGUUGUCCGGAGUUACUGGGCGUAAAGCGCUUGUAGGCGGCCCUUGAAGUCAGGCGUGAAAGCCCCGGGCUCAACCUGGGAGGUGCGCUUGAUACUCGAGGGCUUGAGUGCGGGAGAGGAGAGUGGAAUUCCCAGUGUAGAGGUGAAAUGCGUAGAUAUCGGGAGGAACACCUGUGGCGAAAGCGGCGCACUGGACCAUAACUGACGCUGAGGCGCGAAAGCUAGGGGAGCAAACAGG